GGGGAAUAUUGCGGCAAUGGAGGAAACUCUGACCCAGCGACGCCGCGUGCGGGAUGAAGGCCUUCGGGUUGUAAACCGCUUUCAGUAGGGAAGAAGCGAAAGUGACGGUACCUACAAAAGAAGCACCGGCUAACUAUGUGCCAGCAGCCGCGGUAAUACAUAGGGUGCAAGCGUUGUCCGGAAUUAUUGGGCGUAAAGAGCUCGUAGGUCGUUUGUUACGUCGGAUGUGAAAACCUGAGGCUCAACCUCAGGCCUGCAUUCGAUACGGGCAAACUAGAGUUUGGUAGGGGAGACUGGAAUUCCUGGUGUAGCGGUGGAAUGCGCAGAUAUCAGGAGGAACACCAAUGGCGAAGGCAGGUCUCUGGGCCAAUACUGACACUGAGGAGCGAAAGUCUGGGGAG
rnacentral:rRNA from 1 species